GGCCCGCACAAGCGGUGGAGUAUGUGGUUUAACUCGAUGCAACGCGAAGAACCUUACCAGGGUUUGACAUCCUGCGAAUCUCUUGGAAACGAGAGAGUGCCUUCGGGAGCGCAGUGACAGGUGGUGCAUGGCUGUCGUCAGCUCGUGUCGUGAGAUGUUGGGUUAAGUCCCGCAACGAGCGCAACCCACGUCUUUAGUUGCCAGCAUUAGUUGGGCACUCUAGAGAGACCGCCGGUGAUAAACCGGAGAAGGUGUGGAUGACGUCAAGUCAUCAUGCCCCUUACAUCUGGGCUACACACGUACUACAAUGCUACGGACAAAGAGCAGCAAAGUUCGCGAGGACAAGCAAAAUCUCAUAAAACCGUGGCUCAGUUCAGA
rnacentral:rRNA from 1 species